rnacentral:lncRNA from 1 species
GGAUGUACUUAGGUGAGGUUAGGUGAAAAUUUAUAAAUCAAGAAAUUAAAAUUGAUACUUGAAGCCGGUAGAGCAUUCGUUAAGGAUAAAAAUAAGCUAAAAAUAUUGAUAGGUCAUGGACAUAUUUUUUCGAGAUAUUUGAGAUUUAAAAUAUGGUGGGAAAAGGCUGACUCGGACUUUUACCUUAUGUUUGCAUUGGUAUUAUUUG